AUACGGAGGGUCCAAGCGUUAUCCGGAAUCAUUGGGUUUAAAGGGUUCGCAGGCGGUUUAAUAAGUCAGUGGUGAAAUCCUACAGCUCAACUGUAGAACUGCCAUUGAUACUGUUAGACUUGAAUAUAGUUGGAGUAGGCGGAAUGUGUAGUGUAGCGGUGAAAUGCUUAGAUAUUACACAGAACACCGAUAGCGAAGGCAGCUUACUAAACUAUUAUUGACGCUCACGAACGAAAGCGUGGGGAGCGAACAGGAUUAGAAACCCUAGUAGUCC
rnacentral:rRNA from 1 species